GGUUGAUAAACUGAAAUAAACUCUAUAAUUCAACUGAACGGAUGCGGUAUCUUGACCGUAAUAAAGUAGCAUAAUCACUCGCCACUUAAUUAGUGGAUAGUAUGAAUGGUUAAACGAAUUUUUAGCUGUCUUAAUUAGAAUAUUAUGAAAUUGAAAUAAUAGUCAAGAUGCUAUUUAAAAUUGUAAGACGAAAAGACCCUAUAGAGCUUAACUAUUUCUUUCUGUAUAAAGGAAUUUUAAAUAAUUACAAAAAGAAAGUUUGGUAGUUUAGUUGGGGCGACA
rnacentral:rRNA from 1 species